rnacentral:rRNA from 1 species
GAGCCCUUUGGGUCGNCAGACCCCCUUUUAUUCCUCUUGCGGAAUAAUGGAAAUCUAAUCCAACAUCGAGGUCGCAAACAUAUUCGUCAAUUUGAACUUUCAAAAUACAUUACGCUGUUAUCCCUAAAGUAACUUAUUUAAUCUUCAAAAUUUUUGGGUAUUAAAAUAAUGAUAUUUUAAUAUUAUAGAGGUGUUUAAUCCUCUCACCGCCCCAGUGAAACAUAAUUUUAAUUUAUUAAAUUAUUUUAUGUAAAGCUUUAUAGGGUCUUCUUGUCUAAAAGAAGCAUUUUAGCCUUUUUACUAAAAGGUAAAAUUUAAAAGAAAAAAUUAAGAAAGAAGCUCUCUAGUUUACCCUUUCAUUCCAGUCUUAAAUUAUAAGACUAAUGAUUAUGCUACCUUUGCACA